rnacentral:rRNA from 1 species
GGCUAAACCAUGCACCGAAGCUGCGGCAGCGAACGUAUCACCCAAGACAACUUUACGGAGUUGACGAUUGACGGAGCGAAGCGACGUCAAAGCGUUCAUUAAAGUCGAGUUGGCUUAGGGAUACGUUCGUUGGGUAGGGGAGCGUUCUGUAAGCCUGUGAAGGUGUGUCGUGAGGCAUGCUGGAGGUAUCAGAAGUGCGAAUGCUGACAUAAGUAACGAUAAAGCGGGUGAAAAGCCCGCUCGCCGGAAGACCAAGGGUUCCUGUCCAACGUUAAUCGGGGCAGGGUGAGUCGACCCCUAAGGCGAGGCCGAAAGGCGUAGUCGAUGGGAAACGGGUUAAUAUUCCCGUACUUGGUGUUACUGCGAAGGGGGGACGGAGAAGGCUAUGUUGGCCGGGCGACGGUUGUCCCGGUUUAAGCGUGUAGGUGUGUGUUCCAGGUAAAUCCGGUUCACUUUAACACUGAGGCGUGACGACGAGGCACUACGGUGCUGAAGCAACAAAUGCCCUGCUUCCAGGAAAAGCCUCUAAGCAUCAGGUAACAUCAAAUCGUACCCCAAACCGACACAGGUGGUCAGGUAGAGAAUACCAAGGCGCUUGAGAGAACUCGGGUGAAGGAACUAGGCAAAAUGGUGCCGUAACUUCGGGAGAAGGCACGCUGACACGUAGGUGAAGUGAUUUACUCAUGGAGCUGAAGUCAGUCGAAGAUACCAGCUGGCUGCAACUGUUUAUUAAAAACACAGCACUGUGCAAACACGAAAGUGGACGUAUACGGUGUGACGCCUGCCCGGUGCCGGAAGGUUAAUUGAUGGGGUCAGCGCAAGCGAAGCUCCUGAUCGAAGCCCCGGUAAACGGCGGCCGUAACUAUAACGGUCCUAAGGUAGCGAAAUUCCUUGUCGGGUAAGUUCCGACCUGCACGAAUGGCGUAAUGAUGGCCAGGCUGUCUCCACCCGAGACUCAGUGAAAUUGAACUCGCUGUGAAGAUGCAGUGUACCCGCGGCAAGACGGAAAGACCCCGUGAACCUUUACUAUAGCUUGACACUGAACAUUGAGCCUUGAUGUGUAGGAUAGGUGGGAGGCUUUGAAGUGUGGACGCCAGUCUGCAUGGAGCCGACCUUGAAAUACCACCCUUUAAUGUUUGAUGUUCUAACGUGGACCCGUAAUCCGGGUUGCGGACAGUGUCUGGUGGGUAGUUUGACUGGGGCGGUCUCCUCCUAAAGAGUAACGGAGGAGCACGAAGGUUGGCUAAUCCUGGUCGGACAUCAGGAGGUUAGUGCAAUGGCAUAAGCCAGCUUGACUGCGAGCGUGACGGCGCGAGCAGGUGCGAAAGCAGGUCAUAGUGAUCCGGUGGUUCUGAAUGGAAGGGCCAUCGCUCAACGGAUAAAAGGUACUCCGGGGAUAACAGGCUGAUACCGCCCAAGAGUUCAUAUCGACGGCGGUGUUUGGCACCUCGAUGUCGGCUCAUCACAUCCUGGGGCUGAAGUAGGUCCCAAGGGUAUGGCUGUUCGCCAUUUAAAGUGGUACGCGAGCUGGGUUUAGAACGUCGUGAGACAGUUCGGUCCCUAUCUGCCGUGGGCGCUGGAGAACUGAGGGGGGCUGCUCCUAGUACGAGAGGACCGGAGUGGACGCAUCACUGGUGUUCGGGUUGUCAUGCCAAUGGCACUGCCCGGUAGCUAAAUGCGGAAGAGAUAAGUGCUGAAAGCAUCUAAGCACGAAACUUGCCCCGA